rnacentral:rRNA from 1 species
UACGUAGGGGGCUAGCGUUGUCCGGAAUCAUUGGGCGUAAAGAGCGUGUAGGCUGCUCGGUGAAGUCCGCUGUAAAAGUCAAAGGCUCAACCUUUGAAUGUCAGUGGAUACUGCCGGGCUAGAGUCCGGAAGAGGCGAGUGGAACUCCUGGUGUAGCGGUGGAAUGCGCAGAUAUCAGGAAGAACACCGGUGGCGAAGGCGGCUCACUGGCUCAUUACUGACGCUCAGGCGCGAUAGCGUGGGGAUCAAACAGG